AGGUACCGUCAAUGCCGGAGGUAUUAACUCCGGGUUUUUCUUUCCUAAUAAAAGUGCUUUACAACCCGCAGGCCUUCUUCACACACGCGGCAUUGCUGCAUCAGGCUUGCGCCCAUUGUGCAAUACUUCCCCA
rnacentral:rRNA from 1 species